rnacentral:tRNA from 1 species
AGGGGCAUAGCUCAAUUGGUAGAGCAACGGUCUCCAAAACCGUAGGUUGUGGGUUCGAGUCCUACUGCCCCUGCCACCG